UACGUAGGUGACAAGCGUUGUCCGGAUUUACUGGGCGUAAAGAGCGCGCAGGCGGUCGUUCAAGUCGAGUGUGAAAGCCCCCGGCUCAACUGGGGAGGGUCACUCGAUACUGAUCGACUCGAAGGCAGGAGAGGGAAGUGGAAUUCCCGGUGUAGUGGUGAAAUGCGUAGAUAUCAGGAAGAACACCCGUGGCGAAGGCGGCUCUCUGGGACGGUACUGACGCUGAGACGCGAAAGCGUGGGGAGCGAACAGG
rnacentral:rRNA from 1 species